UAGCUCAGCGGUUGAGAGCACUGGCUGCUCUUUCAGAAGACCUGGGUUCAAUUCCCAG
rnacentral:tRNA from 1 species